rnacentral:rRNA from 1 species
AUUGAACGCUGGCGGCAGGCCUAACACAUGCAAGUCGAGCGGAUGAAGGGAGCUUGCUCCUGGAUUCAGCGGCGGACGGGUGAGUAAUGCCUAGGAAUCUGCCUGGUAGUGGGGGAUAACGUCCGGAAACGGGCGCUAAUACCGCAUACGUCCUGAGGGAGAAAGUGGGGGAUCUUCGGACCCCACGCUAUCAGAUGAGCCUAGGUCGGAUUAGCUAGUUGGUGGGGUAAAGGCCUACCAAGGCGACGAUCCGUAACUGGUCUGAGAGGAUGAUCAGUCACACUGGAACUGAGACACGGUCCAGACUCCUACGGGAGGCAGCAGUGGGGAAUAUUGGACAAUGGGCGAAAGCCUGAUCCAGCCAUGCCGCGUGUGUGAAGAAGGUCUUCGGAUUGUAAAGCACUUUAAGUUGGGAGGAAGGGCAGUAAGUUAAUACCUUGCUGUUUUGACGUUACCAACAGAAUAAGCACCGGCUAACCUCGUG